UACGAAGGGGGCUAGCGUUGUUCGGAAUCACUGGGCGUAAAGCGCACGUAGGCGGCUCUUUAAGUCAGGGGUGAAAUCCUGGGGCUCAACCUCAGAAUUGCCUCCGAUACUGGCAGUCUCGAGUGCGGGAGAGGUGAGUGGAAUUCCCAGUGUAGAGGUGAAAUUCGUAGAUAUUGGGAAGAACACCAGUGGCGAAGGCGGCUCACUGGCCCGUAACUGACGCUGAGGUGCGAAAGCGUGGGGAGCAAACAGG
rnacentral:rRNA from 1 species